rnacentral:tmRNA from 1 species
GGGACUGAAACGGCUUCUACAUAUUGAUAUUUUUUAUUUAAUUUAGUUAAUUGUGACUUAUUUUUAAAUAAGUGUUUUAAACAACGUUUAGAAAUAUUUUUAAACUACAAUUUAAGUGCAAAACAUAAUAUUAUAGUUUUUUCUGAAAAUAAAUUAUUUGUCUAAAUUUUGGGAAUGUUAAAUUAUAUUUUUAAAUAUUUUUUGACAUAUAUAUUCAAAUGCUCUUACUAUAGCUUAUAAGAUAUAUUACUUUUAAGUUAAUUAGUAAGAUAAAGUACUACUGCAAUUUAGAGUAAAAAAUAUAAAUGUAGAAUUUUUUGACUAUAAUCAAUUGACAUACUAAUUUUAUUUACAUAUAUAAUUUCAAUAUGGACGUGGGUUCAAUUCCCACCAGUUCCA